GCUAGUGGCAAGUUCAUUGAUCAGAAUCGAAAUGAUCAUUUUUACUAUUAUUAUAUCUGUACUUCAAAGAAUAAUUAUUGCACGCAUAAUUGACCUUUGACCAUGUAUUUCAUAAUACUAAAUAUUUGGACAAUAAUCAGUUUGGGUUUGACACUUCAGUUUAGAGAGAAAAGUGAGGACCAUGGAGACAAAAGAGAUGCCGGUGCUGCGGUGCGGAGGGCCAUUCUCAUUACAUCGUCCACUAAGCCAGGCUUUAGUGUGGAUUUGGACACCUGUGGAUAGGUCACAUGUCUACGCGCCCUCUACAGUUCAAUCCCUCAGUGUAGCCGACACAAGUUGGUGGCAGUCCAAGUCUCCCCGAAGCUCCAGGGGUCCCGGGAUCCUGAGGCCGGUUUUGGGGUUCACACACCAGCACUUUCCUCUCUGGCCAUCGCGAGCAGGGUGGCACUAAAGCAGGGCACAUAAAAGAAGGUGUACUAUGUAGCUUUUCUGUUGGAGGGUCCACCAUCUACUUAUCAUCAUGGACAUCUUAAUAUUCCAAUGGCAAGUAUCUAUGUUAUAAAAGAUGUAUAAAAAUGUCAAUAUAUAAUGGACAACAUAGAG